UACGUAGGGUGCAAGCGUUAAUCGGAAUUACUGGGCGUAAAGCGUGCGCAGGCGGCUUUGCAAGUCAGAUGUGAAAUCCCCGGGCUUAACCUGGGAACUGCAUUUGUGACUGCAUGGCUGGAGUGCGGCAGAGGGGGAUGGAAUUCCGCGUGUAGCAGUGAAAUGCGUAGAUAUGCGGAGGAACACCGAUGGCGAAGGCAGCCUCCUGGGCCAGCACUGACGCUCAUGCACGAAAGCGUGGGGAGCAAACAGG
rnacentral:rRNA from 1 species